CCAUACAUUUAAAAGCACUGUUAUACCACUUUAACACUCACAGAUAAUCCUGGCCACUGUACUUUGUUAAGGGUGCUGGGAAGUAAGGAUGUUACCCCACAAUUUGAACAUAACUUGGGCCUAGUCUCUAUGGCUGGAACCCAACGAAGCAUUUCCACUGGUAAAAGCACUUCAGGGGCUGCAUGCUGGAACAGCCUCUCUCUCUGCUAAAUAAAUAUGCCCCCUAAAUAUGUUCUGGGGUUUCCCCACCAACUUUCCAGAGCAGAUUUAGGGGACACAAGAUGGUGAAGAGGAACAGGAAAUUCUGCCGAGCAGCCAAAAAUGCUUUUGCUAGCAGAACUGUUUAGCUGGAUACACACCCUAUAUAGGCAGCAGAAAUAAAUGGUGCAAUGGACUAUAUACCAUUUCAGACUUGCAGAUGGGAAAACCCAUGUUUUUUAGCUCUUCCUUACAGCUGACAAACAAACCCUUCCUUGCAAGCAGAAAACAAACUCAAUAGGGAGAGGGCCAGGAUAGAAUUUGUUACACUGCCGUGUCAAUGUUCCACUUGAAGAGAGCUUCUACAUGGAAGAAUUUGCAUUCCUCCUCCUGCAAUCUGAAGCGUUAGCCUCACCUGCCACCUCAUUCUGCUACAGGUUGGGUCCGACUCUCUUGUAAUGCCUUUAGGGUCUGGGUUCAAGACUGCCCAAAGACUCCCCCCCC